CCCGCGGUAGCCUAGUAGGCAUGGCAGCGGACUCGUGACCGGUGGUUCCCUUCGAGUUGUUGGUUCGAGUUUUGAAGUCACUGACGAUCCACCGUGUGGGA